rnacentral:rRNA from 1 species
CGGCAACAGCUCAAAUUUGAAAUCUGGCUCUUUUAGGGUCCGAGUUGUAAUUUGUAGAGGGCGCUUUGGUGUUGGCUGCGGUCUAAGUUCCUUGGAACAGGACGUCACAGAGGGUGAGGAUCCC